rnacentral:rRNA from 1 species
CAGUAGCCACGGUAAUACAGAGGGUGCGAGCGUUAAUCGGAUUUACUGGGCGUAAAGCGUGCGUAGGCGGCUUUUUAAGUCGGAUGUGAAAUCCCUGAGCUUAACUUAGGAAUUGCAUUCGAUACUGGGAAGCUAGAGUAUGGGAGAGGAUGGUAGAAUUCCAGGUGUAGCGGUGAAAUGCGUAGAGAUCUGGAGGAAUACCGAUGGCGAAGGCAGCCAUCUGGCCUAAUACUGACGCUGAGGUACGAAAGCAUGGGGAGCAAACAGGAUUAGAUACCCCGUAGUCCCUGUCUCUUAUACC